UACGAAGGGGGCUAGCGUUGCUCGGAAUCACUGGGCGUAAAGGGCGCGUAGGCGGCCUGGCAAGUGGAAGGUGAAAUCCCUCGGCUUAACCGAGGAACUGCCUUCCAAACUGCUUGGCUUGAGUCCGGGAGAGGUGAGUGGAAUUCCCAGUGUAGCGGUGAAAUGCGUAGAUAUUGGGAGGAACACCAGUGGCGAAGGCGGCUCACUGGACCGGAACUGACGCUGAUGCGCGAAAGCGUGGGGAGCAAACGGG
rnacentral:rRNA from 1 species